AAGAUAAGUCUAGUGUUAUAAAUAUGUCAUCCUACAACGAUAAGUAGCAGAGUACUAAUGUUCACGACCUAAACUAACAGCUAGUUCAAGUUUGUAUUUUGGGUGAGGUGGUUAAACCAUGUCAAAAUUCGUACUCAUUUUAUUAAUUGUGUCCUUUCAAAUAAUAACAGCCCAAAAUGGAACACAAGCUGCAACAAAUACUAUUGAAAGUGCGAUAAGAAGCGUUCUAAAUUUGUUAACAAACUGGUCACAAUCUGCUCAAAGAUUAGGAUCAAGCUUCACAUCUGCAAUCCGAUUUCUUGAAAACAUGGCACAACAAAUAAUUCAACGUAUUGGACCUUUGAUCGGACGCUUUGUUAAUCCCACAAGUGUCAGGCCACCGCUAUCAAGAAGAAGCUUACAGAAGAGAGAUGUCCAAAGAGUGGAUUUCACAAAUCAGGCACAGGAAUUUUUCUAUCGCAUCUUUGAAUUAAACGACCGAUUGAACGAUUUUUAGAAUAUUCAUACAAAAUCUCUACAAGUUAAACUGCCAUCAAAUUAAUUUACUUGAGUUCUAUGACAAAAAUUGUAAAAACUAGAAAAUACAAGUGGGUCGCUAUUCAUUAUUA